CCACGAUAGGUCACGAUUUCUGGAAUGGAUCAUGGCUUAAAUCUACAUGGCCCCUGGAUUGGACUGCGGCCGAUCAGGCUGUUGGUGAGGUAAUGGCCCACCAAACCUAUAACCGGUACGGGCUCUGAGAGGAGAAGCCCGGAGAUGGGCACUGAGACAAGGGCCCAGGCCCUAUGGGGCGCAGCAGGCGCGAAACCUCUGCAAUAGGCGAAAGCCUGACAGGGUUACUCUGAGUGAUUUCCGCUAAGGGGAUCUUUUGGCACCUCUAAAAAUGGUGCAGAAUAAGGGGUGGGCAAGUCUGGUGUCAGCCGCCGCGGUAAUACCAGCACCCCGAGUGGUCGGGACGAUUAUUGGGCCUAAAGCAUCCGUAGCCGGUUCUGCAAGUCUUCCGUUAAAUCCAGCCGCUCAACGGAUGGGCCGCGGAGGAUACUACAGGACUAGGAGGCGGGAGAGGCAAGCGGUACUCAGUGGGUAGGGGUAAAAUCCUUUGAUCCACUGAAGACCACCAGUGGCGAAGGCGGCUUGCCAGAACGCGCUCGACGGUGAGGGAUGAAAGCUGGGGGAGCAAACCGGAUUAGAUACCCGGGUAGUCCCAGCUGUAAACGAUGCAGACUCGGUGAUGGGCUAGCCUUGUGCCAGCCCAGUGCCGCAGGGAAGCCGUUAAGUCUGCCGCCUGGGGAGUACGGUCGCAAGACUGAAACUUAAAGGA
rnacentral:rRNA from 1 species